CUGAGGGAACUUGAGGAUCUGUUUUGGCAGCAGGAGAGCAACCUCACUGAUUUUGCAGGCAAGAAGGUUGAGUGUAUACACUAGCUCCAACUCCUGAGGCUCCUUUCACCUGCUGGACUGGACACAAAAGUGUGAAAGGCAGAGACACCAUCUUUGUUAAUUUGUACCCAAGUCUGGCUCCUGUUACUGAAAGGCUACGUGGGACCAGCGCUGGGGCAGGGCCCCAUCCUACUGUCUGCAUUUUCCAGCUAAGCAACUGUCUUGGGUCCCAGCCAGAGCUUAAAAGAUAGUCAUUCCUCGAGGGAAUGCAGGAUGAACAAGACCAUCUACAAGCGAAAAGUACAGGCCUGGAAUGGCUUCUGCAUACACCUCUCAGAAUGAGCCUGUCUGGCUGACACCUUGAUAUCAGACUUCUAGCCUCCGUUAAGAAGGAGUCCAAAGAAUAUCCCUACAGGAAGCUAAGAAAGACCCAGAGAGGAAAAAGAAACAGAGUUGAAGUGAACCGAACUUGUAGAGUUUAGGUUUGAAAUGUCCUUCUAAGGUCCAUGGGUAAAAGAUGUGGUCCUUGGCCUGUGGCACUGGGACAUGGAGCCUAUUGCAAGUAUUCUGGUCAAAUGAGGGAAAGAGGUGCCCUUGAAUGAGAAUCCGACUCCUCCUCUUUCUCACUGCCUGGCUGCCAGGAAGUGAGCAGCUUCCUCCAUCUGCUACCAUAUUCGGCCUUGUCACAGGCACGAAGCAAUUGGGCCAGCCAACCAUGGACUGAAACUGACUGACUGGUGAG